rnacentral:tRNA from 1 species
GCCUUCGUGGUGUAAUGGUCAGCACACUCGGCGCGUAAUCGAGAGGUCCGUGGUUCAAGUCCUGGCGAAGGUG